GCGGGGGUAGCAAAGUCUGGAGAUUGUGUAAUAGCAAUCGGACAAUCAAAUGCGCAGGACUUAAGUAAGAUAUCCUGUCUCUUAGUGAGUUCGAGGGUUCAAAUCCCUUCCCCCGCA
rnacentral:tRNA from 1 species